rnacentral:rRNA from 1 species
GGCUGAAAUUCGCCUUCAUGAAGCUGGAAUUGCUAGUAAUGGCAGGUCAGCAUACUGCCGUGAAUACGUUCCCGGGCCUUGUACACACCGCCCGUCACACCAUGAGAGUUGGAAAUACCCGAAGCCUGUGAGCUAACAGUAAUGAGGCAGCAGUCGAAGGUAGAGCCAAUGAUUGGGGUGAAGUCGUAACAAGGUACC